rnacentral:rRNA from 1 species
AACGAACGCUGGCGGCGUGCUUAACACAUGCAAGUCGAACGAGAAAGUCGUAGCAAUACGGCGAGUAAAGUGGCGCACGGGUCCGUAACACGUGGAUAAUCUACAUUUGGGCGGGGGACAACCUGUCGAAAGACGAGCUAAUACCCCAUAAGACCACAGAACCCUUGGAUUCUGAGGUCAAAGGUGGCCUCUAUUUAUAAGCUAUCACCUGAAGAUGAGUCCGCGCACCAUCAGCUAGUUGGCGGGGUAAUGGCCCACCAAGGCUAAGACGGUUAGCUGGUCUGAGAGGACGACCAGCGACACUGGAACUGAGACACGGUCCAGACUCCUACGGGAGGCAGCAGUGGGGAAUUUUGGACAAUGGGCGAAAGCCUGAUCCAGCAACGCCGCGUGAGUGAUGAAGGCCUUCGGGUUGUAAAGCUCUGUCGGUUGGAACGAAUAAGGGACACCUAACACGUGUCCCGACGACGGUACCAGCAAAGGAAGCACCGGCUAACUCUGUGCCAGCAGCCGCGGUAA